CGCGAAGAACCUUACCUAGGCUUGACAUGUACUGGAAGACUGGCAGAAAUGUCGUCGCCCGCAAGGGUCGGUACACAGGUGCUGCAUGGUUGUCGUCAGCUCGUGCCGUGAGGUGUCAGGUUAAGUCCUAUAACGAGCGCAACCCCUAUAAUUAGUUGCCAUCAGGUUAAGCUGGGGACUCUAGUUAAACUGCCUGCGCAAGCAGUGAGGAAGGAGGGGACGACGUCAAGUCAUCAUGGCCUUUAUACCUUGGGCUACACACGUACUACAAUGGCCGGUACAAAGGGUUGCAACACAGUGAUGUGAAGCUAAUCUCAAAAAGCCGGUCUCAGUUCGGAUUGGAGUCUGCAACUCGACUCCAUGAAGUCGGAAUCGCUAGUAAUCGCAGAUCAGAAUGUUGCGGUGAAUACGUUCCCGGGCCUUGUACACACCG
rnacentral:rRNA from 1 species